GAUGAACGCUAGCUACAGGCUUAACACAUGCAAGUCGAGGGGUAACAAGAGAAAAGCUUGCUUUUCUUGUUGACGACCGGCGCACGGGUGAGUAACGCGUAUCCAACCUGCCUAUAACUAGGGAAUAACCUUGCGAAAGUAAGACUAAUACCCUAUGAUUUCCUUUGAUGACAUCAGACUAGGAAUAAAUAUUUAUCGGUUAUAGAUGGGGAUGCGCCUGAUUAGCUUGUUGGCGGGGGAACGGCCCACAAAGCAACGAUCAGUAGGGGCUCUGAGAGGAAGGUCCCACACAUUGGAACAGAGAGACGGACCAAACGCCUACGGCAGGCAGCAGUGAGGAAUAUUGGUCAAUGGGCGAAAGCCUGAACCAGCCAAGUAGCGUGCAGGAUGACGGCCCUAUGGGUUGUAAACUGCUUUUUUACAGGAAUAAAGUUAGCCACGUGUGGUUAUUUGUAGGUACUAUAUGAAUAAGGACCGGCUAAUUCCGUGCCAGCCGCCGCGGUAA
rnacentral:rRNA from 1 species